rnacentral:tRNA from 3 species
AUUUAUAUAGUUUAAUAAAAACAUUACAUUUUCACUGUAAAGAUAAAGAAAACUUUUAUAAAUA